rnacentral:rRNA from 1 species
GAUGAACGCUGGCGGCGUGCCUAAUACAUGCAAGUCGAGCGAACGGACGAGAAGCUUGCUUCUCUGAUGUUAGCGGCGGACGGGUGAGUAACACGUGGAUAACCUACCUAUAAGACUGGGAUAACUUCGGGAAACCGGAGCUAAUACCGGAUAAUAUUUUGAACCGCAUGGUUCAAAAGUGAAAGACGGUCUUGCUGUCACUUAUAGAUGGAUCCGCGCUGCAUUAGCUAGUUGGUAAGGUAACGGCUUACCAAGGCAACGAUGCAUAGCCGACCUGAGAGGGUGAUCGGCCACACUGGAACUGAGACACGGUCCAGACUCCUACGGGAGGCAGCAGUAGGGAAUCUUCCGCAAUGGGCGAAAGCCUGACGGAGCAACGCCGCGUGAGUGAUGAAGGUCUUCGGAUCGUAAAACUCUGUUAUUAGGGAAGAACAUAUGUGUAAGUAACUGUGCACAUCUUGACGGUACCUAAUCAGAAAGCCACGGCUAACUACGUGCCAGCAGCCGCGGUAAUACGUAGGUGGCAAGCGUUAUCCGGAAUUAUUGGGCGUAAAGCGCGCGUAGGCGGUUUUUUAAGUCUGAUGUGAAAGCCCACGGCUCAACCGUGGAGGGUCAUUGGAAACUGGAAAACUUGAGUGCAGAAGAGGAAAGUGGAAUUCCAUGUGUAGCGGUGAAAUGCGCAGAGAUAUGGAGGAACACCAGUGGCGAAGGCGACUUUCUGGUCUGUAACUGACGCUGAUGUGCGAAAGCGUGGGGAUCAAACAGGAUUAGAUACCCUGGUAAUCCACGCCGUAAACGAUGAGUGCUAAGUGUUAGGGGGUUUCCGCCCCUUAGUGCUGCAGCUAACGCAUUAAGCACUCCGCCUGGGGAGUACGACCGCAAGGUUGAAACUCAAAGGAAUUGACGGGGACCCGCACAAGCGGUGGAGCAUGUGGUUUAAUUCGAAGCAACGCGAAGAACCUUACCAAAUCUUGACAUCCUUUGACAACUCUAGAGAUAGAGCCUUCCCCUUCGGGGGGGCAAAGUGACAGGUGGUGCAUGGUUGUCGUCAGCUCGUGUCGUGAGAUGUUGGGUUAAGUCCCGCAACGAGCGCAACCCUUAAGCUUAGUUGCCAUCAUUAAGUUGGGCACUCUAAGUUGACUGCCGGUGACAAACCGGAGGAAGGUGGGGAUGGCGUCAAAUCAUCAUGCCCCUUAUGAUUUGGGCUACACACGUGCUACAAUGGACAAUACAAAGGGCAGCGAAACCGCGAGGUCAAGCAAAUCCCAUAAAGUUGUUCUCAGUUCGGAUUGCAGUCUGCAACUCGACUACAUGAAGCUGGAAUCGCUAGUAAUCGUAGAUCAGCAUGCUACGGUGAAUACGUUCCCGGGUCU